rnacentral:rRNA from 1 species
AUUGAACGCUGGCGGCAGGCCUAACACAUGCAAGUCGAGCGCGCGGCGGACGGGUGAGUAAUGUAUGGGGACUGCCCGAUAGAGGGGGAUAACUACUGGAAACGGUAGCUAAAACCGCAUACGAUCGGAUAACCCAUAUGGGAUUAGCUAGUAGGGGGGGUAAUGGCUCACCUAGGCGAAGAUCCCUAGCUGGUCUGAGAGGAUGAUCAGCCACACUGGGACUGAGACACGGUCCAGACUCCUACGGAGGCAGCAGUGGGGAAUAUUGCACAAUGGGCGCAAGCCUGAUGCAGCCAUGCCGCGUGGAUGAAGAAGGCCCUAGGGUUGUAAAGUCCUUUCAUUCGGGAGGCGUUACCGACAGAAGAAGCACCGGCUAACUCCGUGCCAGCAGCCGCGGUAAUUC